GUAGUUAGCCGGGGCUUCCUCCUUGGCUACCGUCACUUUCUUCGUCACCAAGGACAGAGGUUUACAAUCCGAAAACCUUCUUCCCUCACGCGGCGUUGCUGGGUCAGGCUUGCGCCCAUUGCCCAAUAUUCCCCACUGCUGCCUCCCGUAGGAGUCUGGACCGUGUCUCAGUUCCAGUGUGGCCGAUCAGCCUCUCAGCUCGGCUACCCAUCGCAGGCUUGGUGGGCUGUUAUCUCACCAACUACCUAAUGGGACGCGAACCCCUCCCUCAGCGGAUUGCUCCUUUGACCUCAUCCCGAUGCCGGGUCGUGGUCUUAUGCGGUAUUAGCACUUGUUUCCAGGUGUUAUCCCCCUCUGAAGGUCAGGUUGUUCACGCGUUACUCACCCGUUCGCCACUAAAAUUUAUCUUCCAUCCGAAAACUUCUGAUAAAUCUCCGUUCGACUUGCAUGUGUUAGGCACGCCGCCAGCGUUCGUCCUGAGCCACGGAUCAAACUACUGA
rnacentral:rRNA from 1 species